AGUGAACGCUGGCGGUAGGCCUAACACAUGCAAGUCGAACGGCAGCACAGUAAGAGCUUGCUCUUACGGGUGGCGAGUGGCGGACGGGUGAGGAAUACAUCGGAAUCUACUUUUUCGUGGGGGAUAACGUAGGGAAACUUACGCUAAUACCUCAUACGACCUACGGGUUAAAGCAGGGGAUCUUCGGACCUUGCGCGUUUGAAUGAGCCGAUGUCGGAUUAGCUAGUUGGCGGGGUAAAGGCCCACCAAGGCGACGAUCCGUAGCUGGUCUGAGAGGAUGAUCAGCCACACUGGAACUGAGACACGGUCCAGACUCCUACGGGAGGCAGCAGUGGGGAAUAUUGGACAAUGGGCGCAAGCCUGAUCCAGCCAUACCGCGUGGGUGAAGAAGGCCUUCGGGUUGUAAAGCCCUUUUGUUGGGAAAGAAAAGAAGCAGGUUAAUACCCGGAUGUUCUGACGGUACCCAAAGAAUAAGCAACGGCUAACUUCGUG
rnacentral:rRNA from 1 species